AAAUUGAAGAGUUUGAUCAUGGCUCAGAUUGAACGCUGGCGGCAGGCCUAACACAUGCAAGUCGAACGGUAACAGGAAUCAGCUUGCUGAUUUGCUGACGAGUGGCGGACGGGUGAGUAAUGUCUGGGAAACUGCC
rnacentral:rRNA from 1 species